UUUUGUAACUAUUCCUUCAUACUUUAGACCAACAUAAUUCUGGAAAUUUCCAGAGAGAGAGAGAAAGGGAGUUCUUGAGAGAAAUCCCAAAUCCGACCAAAAUUCAAGUCCCGAAAUCCGAAGCUCAUGAAGAGAAAAUUAUUGUACGUCGCGUUGGCUUCAAUUUGAGCUAGAAAUCAGCCAAUAAGGAGAAGAUUUUAUGUGGUGCUGCAAAUUUAAGGUUGAGACAAUAUUGGACAACAUAUACGUAUAAACGCUAAAGGUACAAAUACUCAUUUUGGAGAGCCGCCAACUUAGGAUUCUACUCAACGGGUUUGAA